GGGGAUGUAGUUAAGCAUAACAUCUGAUUUGCAUUCAGAAGGUAUUUUUUGAAAUCUUCCUCA
rnacentral:tRNA from 1 species